AGAGCCAGAGGAGACGAGGAUGAGGAGAGGGAAACGGGGACCCCCUCCCCCGGCCGAACCCCGACCGCAGGCCCGCCCCGCUUUCUCCCGCUCCUCCUCUCCCGGGACUCGCCGCUCGCAGCUGUGCUCGGCCUUCCACGCCACCCGGCCCGGACUCCACCCGCACCCCCGCCCGCCAGGCCUCUUUGGCUCUAACUUGUUCUAGUUUCUUAGGACUCAAACGCUUCGGGUUCGAGAAUCACACCCAAAGGAAAGGUACCAGCAAGGGUUACUCUGUUGCUGCCCUGAGAUCUUGGUAUGAGACAGCCAAACCGAGUCAGAUGACUGUUCUGUUAAAAUAAGGGUUUCAAGACUGUAGAUUCAUGAGAUGGGGAUUCAGUGAAGGAAAACAUUCCCAUCUCUGUUACAGGAAAGUUAUAAUGGCGUUGAACUAUUUGGAAGAAAAGAGAAAAGAAGACAAAGAAGCAAUCUUGCUUAAUCACAACAAAUGUUCUAUUAAACACUAUGUAAAAACAAACUAUAAUAGCAAUAAUAUUAGUCAAUUUGGGAGCUUUUUAACAAAUGAACAUUCUUUUUUAAGACUGUAAGUUCUAUGUAAAAUAAUAUAAUGCAGAACAGAGACUAGAAUAUUUCAUAAAACAGAAGGACUUUCAGGACUUUUUUUUUUUUUCCAAAAGGAAGAUAUGCCAGGAAAAUCUUUAUACAAUUAAAUAGUCUAUGUUCGUCAUGUCUAAAGGCAUGGAAAAGACCCAAAAGCUAUUUUUUUUUAUUACUUGGAGUCAGAGUAUUUGGUACCGUACACGUUUAGUGAAUAUACUUGCAUGGAACAUAACUCAUCUUUGAGAAUAUCAUCAUAGUGGUAUGGACUUGCCUGACAUUUAGAGAGUCAUAUACUUUUCUGUCCAAGGAAUAGUCUUAAAUAUCAAAAUUACCAAAUGAGUACAAAACAAUGUCUGCCUGACUGGGUUUUUUGUUCCCUCAAAGAAUAGACAAUUGUGUCAGUUGGACUUUUUUAUGAUUAAUGGGGUAAUGAUGGUCCUGUUUAAUACCUUUUCCUGAGAUAAUCUGGGUAGAAGCUCAUGACCCUGCAAAUUCUAAAUUUAAUUUUCAGUUUGGGUUACCCAGAAUUCACUAGAGUAAGCUUUUGUGAUACGAAAAGAAGAGAUACAAGUUCUUUUCUCUGAAGAGUUCUCAUAUAAUCAUGCUUUUAAAAAAAGAAUUUAUUGCCACAGAAGUUAGAAGUAGAA
rnacentral:lncRNA from 1 species